rnacentral:rRNA from 1 species
AUGGCUCAGGACGAACGCUGGCGGCGUGCCUAACACAUGCAAGUCGAGCGAGGAGAUCCUUCGGGAUGAUCCUAGCGGCGGACGGGUGAGUAACACGUGGGCAACCUGCCUCAUAGAGAGGAAUAGCCUUCCGAAAGGGAGAUUAAUACCUCAUAACAUUGCAGUUUCGCAUGGAACAGCAAUUAAAGGAGUAAUCCGCUAUGAGAUGGGCCCGCGGCGCAUUAGCUAGUUGGUGAGGUAACGGCUCACCAAGGCGACGAUGCGUAGCCGACUUGAGAGGGUGAUCGGCCACAUUGGGACUGAGACACGGCCCAGACUCCUACGGGAGGCAGCAGUGGGGAAUAUUGCACAAUGGGGGAAACCCUGAUGCCAGCAACGCCGCGUGAGUGAUGACGGCCUUCGGGUUGUAAAGCUCUGUCUUCAGGGACGAUAAUGACGGUACCUGAGGAGGAAGCCACGGCUAACUACGUGCCAGCCGCGGC